GAUGAACGCUGGCGGCGUGCCUAAUACAUGCAAGUCGAGCGAACGGACCAGGAGCUUGCUUCUAUGAUGUUAUCGGCGGAGGGGAGAGUAACUCGUCGAUAACCUACCUAUAAGACUGGGAUAACUUUGGGAAACAGGAGCUAAUACGGGAUGAUAUAUUGAAGCACAAGGUUCCAAAGUGAGAGUAGGUAUUGGGUGGACUUAUAGAUUGCUACGCGCUGCAUUGGCUAGUUGGUAAGGAGACGGCUUACCAAGACAACGAUGCAUAGCCGACCCGAGAGGGUGAACGGCCACACUGGAACUGAGACACGGUCCAGACUCCUACGGGAGGCAGCAGUAGGGAAUCUUCCGCAAUGGGCGAAAGCCUGACGGAGCAACGCCGCGUGAGUGAUGAAGGUCUUCGGAUCGUAAAACUCUGUUAUUAGGGAAGAACAUAUGUGUAAGUAACUGUGCACAUCUUGACGGUACCUAAUCAGAAAGCCACGGCUAACUACGUG
rnacentral:rRNA from 1 species